rfam:Picea glauca, whole genome shotgun sequence.
GAGCUGUGUGAUGAACACAAAGUGAAUUAUUCUUCGUCUUUUACUAAAGAAUACCAUGCGUUGGCCGCUAUUGGGCAUACGCCAAUUUUUGAAGGCUUCCAUCUCUUAAAAAUGGGGU